rnacentral:rRNA from 1 species
AUACGGAGGAUCCGAGCGUUAUCCGGAUUUAUUGGGUUUAAAGGGUGCGCAGGCGGCCAUUUAAGUCAGCGGUUAAAUCGUGGGGCUCAACCCCAUUCUGCCGUUGAUACUGGGUGGCUUGAUUGCGGUCGAGGUUGGCGGAAUUCGUUGUGUAGCGGUGAAAUGCAUAAAUAUGACGAAGAACACCGAUUGCGUAGGCAGCUGACCAGACCGCAAAUGACGCUCAUGCACGAAAGUGCGGGGAUCGAACAGGAUUAGAUACCCUGGUAGUCCGCACAGUAAACGAUGAAUACUUGUUUUCGGCGAUAUAAUGUCGGAGGCAAAGCGAAAGCGAUAAGUAUUCCACCUGGGGAGUACGCCGGCAACGGUGAAACUCAAAUGAAUUGACGGGG